UGUGUUACUAUGUAUGUAUGUAUGUGUAUUCGUGUAUAUAUAGUGUUUGAAGUAUAAUUGUCGUGAUAUAAUGGGCUUGAAUCGGAGAAGAAGGCAAGAAGAGAAGUGGUGGAUUUUGAACAGCAUAAGAGGAAUGUUUACUAGACGUUGUCCGCGUCAAGAUAAAUAGUUCUUCUGACUAACCCAUUUUAUUAUUUAUAUAAUGUAUUAUAGCAUGGCAUAUAGUUUCUUUCUAGCUACUACAUAUUAUUUUUGACAGGAAAUAUAUCAUUAAAUAU
rnacentral:lncRNA from 1 species